rnacentral:tRNA from 1 species
AGUUCAGUCGGUUAGAAUACCUGCCUGUCACGCAGGGGGUCGCGGGUUCGAGUCCCGUC